CUGGAAGGGAUAACCUAAAAUGGCAGCAGGCUGUAAAAGAGACCCAGUUUGGGAAUAUUUUAAUGAAGUUCCUCUACCUGUGGGUAGGACAGGCAUGCGUGCAAAAUGCAAACAGUGCAACAAAGAACCGCAAGGCCUGGUUGCCUAAAACAACAUCAUGAAUAGUGUUCCUUCUCAGAAGGAAGCUGCGUUAAAGGAUGAUGAUCAUGAUG